rnacentral:rRNA from 1 species
CCUACGGGAGGCAGCAGUGAGGAAUAUUGGUCAAUGGACGCAAGUCUGAACCAGUCAUGCCGCGUGAAGGAAGACGGCUCUAUGAGUUGUAAACUGCUUUUGUACGAGGGAAAACGCAGGUAAGCGACUCUGUCUGAUAGUAUCGUACGAAUAAGGAUCGGCUAACUCCGCGCCAGCAGCCGCGGUAAUACGGAGGAUUCAAGCGUUAUCCGGAUUUAUUGGGUUUAAAGGGUGCGUAGGCGGUCGGAUAAGUUAGAGGUGAAAUCCCGAGGCUCAACUUCGGAAUUGCAUCUGAUACUGUUCAGCUUGAGAGUAGUAGCGGUAGGCGGAAUGUAUGGUGUAGCGGUGGAAUGCUUAGAGAUCAUACAGAACACCAAUUGCGAAGGCAGCUUACCAGGCUACUUCUGACGUUGAGGCACGAAAGCAUGGGGAGCAAACAGGAUUAGAUACCCGUGUAGUC